rnacentral:rRNA from 1 species
GUCGGGAAUUUUGGGCAAUGGGCGAAAGCCUGACCCAGCAACGCCGCGUGAAGGAUGAAGUAUUUCGGUAUGUAAACUUCGAAAGAAUAGGAAGAAUUAAUGACGGUACUAUUUAUAAGGUCCGGCUAACUACGUGCCAGCAGCCGCGGUAAUACGUAGGGACCAAGCGUUGUUCGGAUUUACUGGGCGUAAAGGGCGCGUAGGCGGUGCGGUAAGUCACUUGUGAAAUCUCUGAGCUUAACUCAGAACGGCCAAGUGAUACUGCAGUACUAGAGUGCAGAAGGGGCAAUCAGAAUUCUUGGUGUAGCGGUGAAAUGCGUAGAUAUCAAGAGGAAUACCUGAGGUGAAGACGGGUUGCUAGGCUGACACUGACGCUGAGGCGCGAAAGCUAGGGGAGCAAACGGGAUUAGAAACCCUAGUAGUCC